rnacentral:lncRNA from 1 species
UCUCUUCACAGGUCCACUUUCUCUCUCUAAAAAGUCCAACUCUCUCUUUACUUUCUCUCUAUAUAUAUUUUUUCUCUCUAAAAUUAUCUCUCUUGUUGGAGUUUUCUCUUUCCAAGAUUGAUCCAUUGAAGGACUUCUUUUCGAUGAUUUUGAUCAAGUUUAGUGAAGGAUUUAGAUCUGCGAUCAUCGAACAGCAUACUGGCACCC